AUACCUUAAUAGUAAUUGUUUAUGUUGCAACAUUAUGCUCGCGUCAUUCUGUUCCAAAUAUGUUUGCUUGUUCAAAUUGUAGCCAACUGCUGCACGCCGAAGGCGGAGAAAUGUGGACAUACCUAAUCGCAAAGUUACUCUAUCAACGUCAUUCAGAGUCAAGCGUUUAUUUACGACAAGUCGUGCCAAUGGUUACAGCGCUGGUGAUGAACGAUAUGUGGUCUUAGCGAGCCUUUUGCUGGCGAAAAUAUUCUUCGAUAGAUACUAGACUACCAACAUUUUCAGUCGGGCGAAACGCGAAAAAUGUCAGAUUACUCUCGAACUGUCUCAUAAAAUUUGAAACGACAAUAACAGUAUAAUUUUUCAUGCUGUACUCUUUACGCUGGCAAAACAUGAAACAACUUUCUAGUAACUGUCUUAAACAAACAGUUAUUUUCAAUUGAUUGGCAAAAUAUUUAACGGCAAAGGUUUAACUACAAAAGUGGAGUGGGGACACUUUAUUCCAAUUCUGCUACCACUUCACCUUUUUGCAUGUAAAUACUAUUGUGCUGGAACUAUACGUGGGAAAACAAUAGUUUGAAGAUAAUGAUGUUUUAUUAAGUUCUGAUCUGUGUUGUUUGAUUUCAUUGACGAAUAUAACAAGUGUUGUUACAUGUUCAAUUUGUUGUUACUCAAGCAUUAUGAAAAUUCAAAGAUGAAUCAAUAUCUGAAUUCUGAUUAAAUUACUUUUCUCAAUUUAACAAUAAUGUUAA